UACGGAGGGGGCUAGCGUUGUUCGGAAUUACUGGGCGUAAAGCGCGCGUAGGCGGCUUUGUAAGUUAGAGGUGAAAGCCCGGAGCUUAACUCCGGAACUGCCUUUAAGACUGCAUCGCUAGAAUUGUGGAGAGGUAAGUGGAAUUCCGAGUGUAGAGGUGAAAUUCGUAGAUAUCUGGAGGAACACCGGUGGCGAAGGCGGCAUCCUGGACCGGUAUUGACGCUGAGGCGCGAAAGCUAGGGGAGCAAACGGG
rnacentral:rRNA from 1 species